rnacentral:rRNA from 1 species
AUUGAACGCUGGCGGAAUGCUUUACACAUGCAAGUCGAACGGCAGCACGGGGGCAACCCUGGUGGCGAGUGGCGAACGGGUGAGUAAUACAUCGGAACGUGCCCGGUCGUGGGGGAUAACGUAGCGAAAGUUACGCUAAUACCGCAUACGAUCUGAGGAUGAAAGCGGGGGACCUUCGGGCCUCGCGCGAUCGGAGCGGCCGAUGUCAGAUUAGGUAGUUGGUGGGGUAAAGGCCUACCAAGCCGACGAUCUGUAGCUGGUCUGAGAGGACGACCAGCCACACUGGGACUGAGACACGGCCCAGACUCCUACGGGAGGCAGCAGUGGGGAAUUUUGGACAAUGGGCGCAAGCCUGAUCCAGCCAUUCCGCGUGCAGGACGAAGGCCUUCGGGUUGUAAACUGCUUUUGUAUGGAACGAAAAGGCUCUGGCUAAUACCUGGGGCUCAUGACGGUACCGUAAGAAUAAGCUCCGGCUAACUACGUG